AUGCUUUGCCUGCAUAUAGCUUCUAUCAUUAAUAUUGUAUGCACUUUUCUCUGCAGUCAAUAUUUUUAUAAAAGCAGUUUGACCUGUGCCUCCUAUGUUUGGUUUGUCUAUCUAUUGACUAAUAAAGUUGUAACUUCAGACACUUCCUAUCAGUGUAUGCAGUCACUGCUCAUGGGCAGGGUCUGCCUUCUUUCUAAACUGCAAGACAUGCCCCCAGCUGAAG